rnacentral:rRNA from 1 species
AUGAACGCUGGCGGCGUGCCUAAUACAUGCAAGUCGAGCGAACAGAUAAGGAGCUUGCUCCUUUGACGUUAGCGGCGGACAGGUGAGUAACACGUGGGUAACCUACCUAUAAGACUGGGACAACUUCGGGAAACCGGAGCUAAUACCGGAUAAUAUGUUGAACCGCAUGGUUCAAUAGUGAAAGAUGGUUUUGCUAUCACUUAUAGAUGGACCCGCGCCGUAUUAGCUAGUUGGUGAGGUAACGGCUCACCAAGGCAACGAUACGUAGCCG